rnacentral:rRNA from 1 species
GCCCUAAACCUCAGUAGUUAGAUAACAAAACUACUCGCCAGAAUACUACAAGCAACAGCUUAAAACUCAAAGGACUUGACGGUGCUUUACAUCCCCCUAGAGGAGCCUGUUCCGUAAUCGAUAAACCCCGAUCCACCCCACCCUCUCUUGCUCAGCCUAUAUACCGCCAUCUUCAGCAAACCCUAAUGAAGGCUACAAAGUGAGCGCAAACGCCACUGCCGCGAAUACGUUAGGUCAAGGUGUAGCCCAUGAGACGGUAAAAAAUGGGCUACAUUUUCUAUUUCAGAAAACCCCACGAAAACCCUUAUGAAACUUAAGGGUCCAAGGAGGAUUUAGCAGUAAAUUAAGAAUAGAGUGCUUAAUUGAACCAGGCCAUAAAGCGCGCACACACCGCCCGUCACUCCUCUCAAAUAUAUUUAAGGAAUAUCCUAACUAAACGCCCUAAUAUUUAUAUAGAGAGGAUAAGUCGUAACAUGGUAAGCGUACUGGAAGGUGCGCUUGGAUAAAU